AGAGCACGUCUGCAGAGCCCACAGCCACCCCCACCGCCACUGCGGCUCCAGGCCUCCUGACGUGCCUGCCCGAAGCCCGGAGCUUUGCAAGUGCACGGAGAGAGAGAGAGAGGACCGGAGAAGAACACCUAACUGGAGGUGAUUGGAGAGAGCGAUGCCCACACCCUUCAGAAGCCAGGCAAGUCUUCCGCGGGACAGUGUGCACGACACUCUGGCCCAGCACCCCCAACCGGCGGUGGCUCGAGAGCUGUGACUUCCUCUCUCCUGAUGCCCCCCCACCACCCCCAGUCUCCCAAGGGGCCCCUGGAAGACGUGGAGCUGGAUGCUUCUGCCCACAUAGCCUGAGACUAAACCACCACCACGUUCGCUGCACAAGGAGAAUGAAACGGGGUCACAGACGUGCAGGGAAAGUGACCGGCUUAACAGGUUCCACCCUGAGAAUGUUCUAGGCCUCGCUCGCUCUUCAAGUGCCUGACGGAGCCAGGAUUCCUAACACCCUCCUUCUUGAAAACAAAGG
rnacentral:lncRNA from 1 species